ncrna:unclassified sequences 6A RNA
AGAUUUGCUUGUAUAGUAGCAAGCAAGGUAAUCAAAAAAAAUACUAUCUUAAG